AGUGGCGGACGGGUGAGUAACGCGUGAGAAUCUGCCUUCAGGUCGGGGACAACAGAGGGAAACUUCUGCUAAUCCCGGAUGAGCCUUAGGGUAAAAAAUUUAUUGCCUGGAGAUGAGCUCGCGUCUGAUUAGCUAGUUGGUAAGGUAAAAGCUUACCAAGGCAACGAUCAGUAGCUGGUCUGAGAGGAUGAGCAGCCACACUGGGACUGAGACACGGCCCAGACUCCUACGGGAGGCAGCAGUGGGGAAUUUUCCGCAAUGGGCGAAAGCUUGACGGAGCAAGACCGCGUGGGGGAGGAAGGCUCUAGGGUUGUAAACCCCUUUUCUUUGGGAAGAACAAAAUGACGGUACCAAAGGAAUCAGCCUCGGCUAACUCCGUGCCAGCAGCCGCGGUAAUACGGAGGAGGCAAGCGUUAUCCGGAAUGAUUGGGCGUAAAGCGUCCGCAGGUGGCAAUGUAAGUCCGCUGUCAAAACCCAGGGCUCAACUCUGGUCAGGCAGUGGAAACUACAUAGCUAGAGUUCGGUAGGGGCAAAGGGAAUUCCCGGUGUAGCGGUGAAAUGCGUAGAGAUCGGGAAGAACAUCGGUGGCGAAAGCGCUUUGCUAGACCGAAACUGACACUCAGGGACGAAAGCUAGGGGAGCGAAUGGGAUUAGAUACCCC
rnacentral:rRNA from 1 species